AUUGAACGCUGGCGGCAUGCUUUACACAUGCAAGUCGAACGGCAGCACGGGGGCAACCCUGGUGGCGAGUGGCGAACGGGUGAGUAAUGCAUCGGAACGUAUCCUUAAGUGGGGGAUAACGCAUCGAAAGAUGCGCUAAUACCGCAUAAUCUCUGAGGAGAAAAGCAGGGGAUCGCAAGACCUUGCGCUUUUGGAGCGGCCGAUGUCUGAUUAGCUAGUUGGUGAGGUAAAGGCUUACCAAGGCUUCGAUCAGUAGCUGGUCUGAGAGGACGACCAGCCACACUGGGACUGAGACACGGCCCAGACUCCUACGGGAGGCAGCAGUGGGAAUUUUGGACAAUGGGGAAACCCUGAUCCAGCCAUGCCGCGUGAGUGAAGAAGGCC
rnacentral:rRNA from 1 species